rnacentral:lncRNA from 1 species
GAAUGUGGGGGCGGCUCCCAACAAAGUAAGGCGCUUCCUACACCCAUUUCCAGCUGGCCAAGUAGGACCAAGAUAAUCAUCACGGAGGAAGAGGAGAGGUGGGGAUGCCUCUCAGAUCAAAGUCUUCAAAGGCAAACCAGCUGCAUGUUUGUGAAGAUCGUGUUUGGCUCCGGCUCAAGCAGACAGCCCUGAAUGAGAUUCUUGGGGUAGCUACUGAAAACUGGCAGCAGAAGCAGAGCCGGGUUUAUUUCAGAGGGCGUGUUAAGAAGCUGGACCCUUUCCUGGAAAAUCAGCUCCAGUGGAUUAAGAGCUCAUUUAUGAAAAUGAAACCACCACAGAGGCAGUGGCCAAGAGGGGAGAUGACAUCAAGGUUCCUAAAUAAGACACCAGACAUACUAGGCCUGCUUAUCAAACCACAAUUAACAGCAGACAACAAUAGCCAACAAGCAACAGCAGCCAAAACCAACCAACAACCCAACAAUAACCCACCUAUCAGAGCUCUAGCAUUUAUAUAAUACCCUCUGAAAAGUCUCCAGAAUUCCAGACACCCAUACACUCACAGAAACCAUAUGCAGCUGGCAAAAUCACGCCCCUGCUAGAGCAUGAGGCAAAUCAUAGUCAGCUAUGGUGGGCAGUCUGAAGCAGCCCCGUACCUCACACCUAGGAUUAAGACAAAAAUAUAUUCUUAAAUAUUCCUGUGGGUUUUUGGGUUUUUUUUUUUUACUUGGUUUGGUUUUUUUUGUUUUUCGAGACAAAGUUUCUCUGUAUAGCCCUGGCUGUCCUGGAACUCACUCUGUAGACCAGGCUGGCCUUGAACUCAGAAAUCCACCUGCCUCUGCCUCCCAAGUGUGCCACCACGCCCGGCUAUUCCUGUGGUUUUUUUUUUUUUUUUUUAAGAAACCAAAACUCCCAAUUUGUCACUAUAGAUAUUAUUUUAAGAUAAACAAGCAGAUUACAGAAAGAAUGAGUCUGCUCUGGUUUUAUUUUGAGAUAGGGUUUCUUAGUUUAACCCCGGCACUCACCAGGCUGGCCUCAAACUCACAGAGAUGGCCUGCCUCUGCCUCCCAAGUGAUUGAAGGUGUGCGCCAUUAUCACCCAGCAAGUUUGGCUCUCCGUUCUACUCCACAAAUACACUCUUCAUUUUGACCCAAAGAUUUUGACUCACACUUGGGUUCAUUUGGUCUGCUGACAUUCAGGCCCAUACUUACAUACUUCCUGUCCCCCAACGCUUAGCAGCAAACUGCACUUGGUAUAACCCUAGAUUUGUCUUUCUCUUCUUUUCAGUCUCACAGCACCUUGAGGCUCGUCCUUAUGAAUUAGGACUUGGUUGUCCUGCAUCAGCAAAGCUGUGUGACCUUCUUGGAAACCAGAGAGGCAGGAUUGAUGCUGACGCUUCAUAGGCUGUGGUAACCACGUGACUCACCGCCACGUGUCCACGCAGAAAAGUUACCCCUUGUUCAGCGCAUCCUCAGUGCAGCCCCAAGGCUGAAGUCGCCAGUACCCACCUCUCUGGGCAGCCCAGUGAUGUCCCUCAGCGAUGAGACUUCAGCAAAGGUCCCCCAAGAGUGGGCUGCACUGUUGGCAAACCUCCUCAGGAACGGCUCCUCGGUGGUGGUCCCUCAGCAGCAACAACCUCUCAAGAAUGGUCCCUGGCGACUGCCCCUUAGCAACAGCUCCUCACAAAUGACCCCUAGAAAGUGGUCCAGUAACUAGGUCGCCUCCCAGAAACAGAUCCUCGGCGACGGUUCCUCAGCACUGGCCCCCGCAGAAUCAGUUCCUUAAGCCGCUAGACCAUGGCCUCUUAACGGCCCGACUGCCCCCAGCCACCGUGGGUCUGAGGCUGCGUAGUUUGGGCGCGCAGCUCCAUGGCAACGGAAGGCUGCUUUGGGGUAGCGGGCGGGGCUGAGGCUGCGGAGGGAGAGCUUGUGCGCAGGCGUAGUGCAACAGCGGGGGUAAAGUGGGACGAGCAUCGCGGAGGGCAGAGUCAAAGCUGACUGUUGCCCAGACGAUUCUCCUGGAGACUGGGGCAGGUGCUCGAGAACUUGUCUAAAGCCAGUUGAAACUUGGGUCAACUGCUUACUUAAAAGACCAUUUACGCAGAAGUUAGGAUCUCCUGCGUCUCUUGGAUCUGAAUUCUGGCUCUCCCAGGGCUUUGCAGCCUGUGUUGUGCCCUCUAGGUGGUGACAUCUGACUCCUCUGGAUAACUCACAGGACUCUUUGGAUUGUUUUUGGUCGUUUAAGUUGGCGUGGUCACUAGUCCGGGCAGGAGGUGGGCUCAACAGUGGACAGGACAUGUUCCCUUUCCUCAGAGUCGCAGGGAUGACUGGCAACUCCUGUAGUUUUGUCUUGGAGAUGGAGAACCUUCAGCGUUAAGAAGUCCUCAAAAUAAUACAGAGCCUGUGGAAAUGUCAGUGGAGAUUGGUGGGGGGUACCUCUGCACUCCCUUCAGAUACUUUGCCUGUGAAAUACCACUGCAAUACUGUAUAGGUGUGUGUGUGGCUGGGGAUCGAACCCAGGUGUUCUAUAAGUUUAGAGCUUUGUGUAUGGAAGCCGGAUGUCCUAGUAAAGCAAUUUGGGAAAGAUAGCCAGUUGGUUUGUAACCUUUAGCUGAGGGAGAAUGUGAACUGGGCCUCCUACUCUGGGUUGACCCUGGUAUAUGGCUGAGCAGAGAGGGUUGUGAAGUAACCAUAUCCAAUACUAAUAUUUGUGGUAUGAAGUAUAAUCCCCACUAUAGUAAAAUAAGUGAAUAAAUUGGUCUUCUCUUUCAAAAAAAAAAAAAAAAAAAA